rnacentral:rRNA from 1 species
GAUUGAACGCUGGCGGCAGGCCUAACACAUGCAAGUCGAGCGGUAGAGAGGUGCUUGCACCUCUUGAGAGCGGCGGACGGGUGAGUAAUGCCUAGGAAUCUGCCUAGUGGUGGGGGAUAACGUUCGGAAACGGACGCUAAUACCGCAUACGUCCUACGGGAGAAAGCGGGGGACCUUCGGGCCUCGCGCCAUUAGAUGAGCCUAGGUCGGAUUAGCUAGUUGGUGAGGUAAUGGCUCACCAAGGCGACGAUCCGUAACUGGUCUGAGAGGAUGAUCAGUCACACUGGAACUGAGACACGGUCCAGACUCCUACGGGAGCAGCAGUGGGGAAUAGUUGGACAAU